ensembl:snRNA U6 U6 spliceosomal RNA
GUGCUCACUUUUGUAGCACAUAUACUAAAAGUGGAACAAUACAGGGAAGAUUAGUAUGGCCCCUGUGUGAAAAUGACAUGCAAAUUUAUGAAGUGUUCCAUAUUUCU